AAAAGGUUGCCUGCUCUGUUUCAGAAGCCCCCUCUGAAGACGGAGCCUAUCUGUAAAUUAAAGAUACAUGCAUGGCGCCCUCCUCAAAAGGCUGUCGUGAGAAUUCAGUGAGCCAAACCUCACAUGCCUUAAAGACGAGGACCCAGGACAGACCAGGAGUCUAAAAUACCGGAGGACCCAAUGAACUCGGAGGUUCUAAUGAGGUGUUGAGCGUAUCACUCCAUUCAGAAGACUGUCUUCUGGCUUCAGCUGCUCAUCAGGGGGUUUAAAAUACUUGCUUUCCCCCCUUCUUUCUCCCUUGCGUCGUGUUUUUAGUGUUUGUUCCCAACCAAUCUGCGAUCGCCUGCAAUUAGAUCAUUUUCCCCACUCGACUCUCCUGCAGUGCGCCAGAGUCUGGACACCUAGGUGAAUUAGUCACCCCCAGCUACUGGUUGCUGCGUUUCUCUCGCUGCUCUGACAGGGAGCAGAGGCCUCCCCCGAGCCCUGUCCCUAGCUGCAGGGUCCUCACGGAAGGCAGGCAGCAAUGCUCCGCAGGUGUGCAGUGGUCCCUGACUGACGGUUUCCAGGGCACACACCCGCAGGUGCACACGUGUCCCUGCACCCUGGCCCUGGGACCCGGAGGGAGGCGCCUGACCCAAGAACUAUAGUCAUCUGGCUUCCAGGGAUGGCUGAACCAAUCAAAUUCCUUUGUUCAGAAAUCCACACUAAAACAAACCAAAACAAAACAAAACAAAAACUACAGACAGCACAUUUACCCAUUUACCCACUGUUCGCAACUGCUACCACUGAAGGGUCACACAGCGGAGGUGGCCGUGGGGGCAACCGGCCAGGAUGGAGGGGCCGCUGGCGGCCCAGCGGAAAGGAGCAGAUGGGAGGCGCGUGUGGCCAGGCCUGACCAGAGUGGAGGGCCAAGGUGAAGGUCCAGGCUCCAGGUGCGUCCUCAGAGGUUUGACCUGAUUACAGCUCCACGUGGAUCCUCAAGAUGAAGCCUGUUUUAAUAGUGCCGGCUGAGCAGGAUGGUCUUUAUUGCAAACAGAUGAUCCCAAUCCGGCUCAUCGGUACCCUCCCAUAAGAUGCCGUCCGAGCGCAGCUCCCUGAUCUCAGAACGAGUCAGCCUGGCCGUGGCUCUGGGCUGGCCGGUGGGACCGGAGGCCAGUUGCCAGGCGUGGCCUCUGAGUAGCUGUGACUUUAAGAGCUGCCUCUAAAACAAGUCCUUGUGGCUCACUUACAGGGCACGUGCUUGUGCGAGGAGAUAGUACCUGUCCCUCGUCCCUGUGGACGGCUUGGCCACACCAAAUGGAUGCUGAGGCAGCAAAUAACAUGGAGUAGUUUGGUUAAAGUCUCCACAUGCUGGUUCUCAGACCACACCUGGCACAGGCAAGUACCCCACCUUCCACUUCUGUUGAAUUUUCCAAGUUCCCUGCAUUGUUUGGACAAGUGCUCUAUAAAUAGGUGUUGAAUAACUGAACUGAAAACAAUGACCUAACACAGAAGAUGUCAAGCAGUACUAAAGAAUAGCUAAGCUAUGGUGAUGGAGUCUCUUAAUGGAUUCCUUUUCAGAAGCAGUGCCUCGUCACCAUUGUGUUUGUUUGCACUUCAUUCUAAUAACAUUUAAACCAUACAGAAUUAAUGUAGUCUUAAAUGUGGAUGUCAUUAGUGUUCCUGAAAGAUUUCUUGCCCUGGAAUUUUUAAUGAAUUCAUCAUGAAUUUAAAUUUGUUUUAGCUACGUCCCCAGGGCUGGCCCCAUGCUUAGAAAAUGACCCAUCCAGUAUAAUUUGAUGGGUGCCAGAAUAGGCCAUCUGCUCAAAAAUACUUCCUGCCCUGACUCCAGAAAAUUCACCCUUACAGUUUCACUUAAUAAAUCAACAAAUAAUUUGAUUGAUAAUCAAGUCAGUAAAUAUUUACAAAAUACCUACAACUUGCCAAGAACCAAAGGUUGUACAAAGAUGAAUAUAACACAGUUCCUGCCUGUGGGGACCUCUGAGCUUGAUGUCAAGUUAAGAAAUAGAUAUUUAAAGAUGCAUGAAUGACAUAAGUUAUUUGUUAGAAUCCCUAAGCUAUGCUAAGGAGUGACUUUCUAGUUCCCCAAGCUUUGCAAUCACAAGGGCCUCUAAUUGCGGGGCGAGGGGAGAUGGAAGGUAAUAAUACGUAGCCCAUGAUUAUAGGGACUUUGGAGCCAGUGGUGCAAAUUAGGUGCUUUUGAGUAAACUCCUUUCCUCCCUCAGCCUGCUUCCUUGUCGGCAGCAGAGAAAUUUGACUGAAAUGGUAUAUUCAAAGCAUUUGGGAUACCGUAUUUGGUGCAAUGCCUGGCUGGAGUAGACCUAGCACAAUGUUAGUUCUUGUCCCCUCGUCAUUUAACUGGAGAAGACUAAGCAGUGAGAAACCCUCGUUUCUUCAGCGCUUUCUUCAUUAGACACUUACCAAGCACUUACUAAGUGUAGAUACCAGGUUAGAGGCGGGGAUAACAAGUAGAACAGCAUUCCUGUCCUCACAACGGUCUGGUUGGGGCCAGGACGUAGGAGGGUCAGGGCUGAGUCUGGAGGAUGAGUAGGAGUUGACCAAGAAAGGCAGUAGGGGCAUUUCACUGGGAGAGGACAGCAUUACUGAAGGCUUCUGAGCUAAGGAGAACAAGGUGUUGCAGGAGCCCCGGGCAACGGGAAUAGGCUGGAGGAAGAUGGACCCGCUGAUAGGUAUUUUUGUCAUCCGUCUAAGAGGUGAUCAGGACCUGAGGCCGACAGUGGGGGUGCGAAUAUUCCUGAGAUUGGCACAGGAGAAACCACUAGGAAGAGUUAAGAGGACACUUGAGGAGGAAGGUGUCAUAGAUGGGUCUGUUUUUCAGCCCCGUGUCUGGUCAUCAAUGCCUUUUAAUAGAAGGUUUAAUUCCUGUGAGAGGAAGCGGGCUUGGGCAGGUGGCAAUGAUCUCAGUUUCAGACCAGCUGAGUUGUAGUGGCUUUCAGGAGGAAAUGCCAUUCCUCUGUGUACGUACGUUCCAGGAGCCACCUGCCAUGUGCAAUAUGCCUACAAGUAGUAACCUACUGCAUCCAUAUGUCUUGCUUGUGCAAGAUUUUGUGGAAGGGAGAAAAGUAGGAGCACAGAGAUGUGGGUGCUUGGAAUGUAUUUAGUAAGAAGGCGAGAAGGAUCCUGGUCCCAGGUGCGGAGAUGCAGACAAAAGUGAGGUGUUUCUCUCUCUCCCCCAAACCAAGCCCAACACCAGUCACAGGCCCCAUGCUCUGCAUCAGAUAAGAAUAUGGUCCUUAUUGAGGCCACUCUGGGCUCCUCUCCCCUGCUUCCUCUCUACUUUGGAACAUCUCAGGAGUGAAGGGUCCCUUUUCCUUCUUAGACCAUCUCUUCAUCAGAUACCGAUCUGUGCCUGUGGCCACGGUCAUUCUCACUAAUUACUCGUGCCCUGGACUCUUCAGUUUCACCAACCCUAUUGUAUUCAUCUUUGCCUAAAAAGACUGGUCAAUUGUACCUUGUCUUAAAAAGAAUAAACGGAACCAAUCCUUCCCAAACCUUGUUACACCUUGAAUUACCAUUUUCUUUGUCCUCAUCCCUUCAACUGAGACUUUUUUUUUAAUUGAAAAAAUAUAGUCAGGAGUCACAAUACUGUCCGUUAUACUCCCUGGACUUACUCAUCUUGUAACUAAAACUUUGUACCUUUUGACCUCCUUCACUCAUUUCAACCCCACCCCUGCUUCUGGCAACUGCCAAUCUGUUUUCUGCAUCUAUGAGUUCAGGUUGUUUUAAGACCUCUACAUACAAGUAAAACCGUAAACUAUUUUGUCUUUGUCGGACUUAUUUCACUUACCUAAUGCCUUCAAGGUCCAUCUAUGUGGUCACAAAUAGCAGGAUUGCCUUCCUUUCUGGGGUCAAUAUUUCAUUCUAUAAAUAGACCACAUUUUCUUUAUCCAUUCAACCAUCAGUGGAUACUUAGUUUGUUUUCAGGUCUUAGCUAUUGUAAAUAACGCUGAUACGAACAUGAGAGUCCAGAAAUCUUUUCAAGAUAGUGAUUUCACUUCCUUCAGACAAAUACCCGGAAGUGGAAUUGCUGAGUUAUAUGGUAGUACUAUUUAAUACUUUUUUUUUUUGAGGAAAUUCCAUACUGUUUUCCAGUUUACAAUUGAUAUUCCCACCAAUAGUGUACAAAGGUUCUCUUUUCUCCACAUUCUUACCAAUACUGGUCUUUUUGGUAAUUGCCUUUCUAACAGGUGUGAGGUGAUAUGUCAUUGCCUUUUUGAUUUGCAUUUCCCUGAUAACGAGUGAUGUUGAACAUCUUUUCAUGUACCU